rnacentral:lncRNA from 1 species
GAGAGAGAGCGAGAGAAAGGGAGCGAGAGAAAGGGAGAGAGAGCGAGAGAAAGGGAGAGAGAGCGAGAGAAAGGGAGAGAGAGCGAGAGAAAGGGAGAGCGAGCGAGCGAAAGGGCGAGAGAAAGGGAGAGAGCGAGAGAAAGGGAGAGAGAGCGAGAGAAAGAGAGAGAGGGAGCGAGAGACAGAAAGGGAGAGAGAGGGAGCGAGAGACAGAAAGGGAGAGAGAGGGAGCGAGAGAGAGAGGGAGCGCGAGAGAGAGAAAGGGAGAGAGAGAGAGAGGGAGCGCGAGAGAGAGAAAGGGAGAGAGGGAGCGAGAGAGAGAAAGGGAGCGAGAGGAAGCGAGAGAGAGAAAGGGAGCGAGAGGGAGCGAGAGAGA